CCCCUAGUAACUGCGAGUGAAGCGGGAAAAGCUCAAAUUUAAAAUCUGGCGGUUGCACCGUCCGAGUUGUAAUCUGGAGAAGCGUUUUCCGUGUUGGACCGUGUACAAGUCCCUUGGAACGGGGCGUCAUAGAGGGUGAGAAUCCCGUCCAUGACACGGACUGCCAAUGCUUUGUGAUACGCUCUCGAAGAGUCGAGUUGUUUGGGAAUGCAGCUCAAAAUGGGUGGUAAAUUCCAUCUAAAGCUAAAUAUUGGCGAGAGACCGAUAGCGAACAAGUACCGUGAGGGAAAGAUGAAAAGCACUUUGGAAAGAGAGUUAAACAGUACGUGAAAUUGUUGAAAGGGAAACGCUUGGAGUCAGUCGCGUCUGUCGAGACUCAGCCUUGCCUUCGGGCUUGGUGUACUUCUCGGCCUGACGGGCCAACAUCGAUUUCGAACGGCGGAUAAAGGUCUGGGGAAGGUGGCACCUUCGGGUGUGUUAUAGCCCCUCUCCGUAUACGUCGUCUGGGAUCGAGGACCGCAGCACGCCCUUGUGGCUGGGGCCCUUUGCCCACAUAACGUGCUUAGGAUGUUGGCGUAAUGGCUUUAAGYGACCCGUCUUGAAACACGGACCAAGGAGUCUAACAUGCCCGCGAGUGUUAGGGUGUAAAACCCUUGCGCGUAAUGAAAGUGAAAGUUGGGACCUCUGUCGAGGAGGGCACCGACGCCCGGCCCUGAACUCUUGUGACGGUGCUGCGGUAGAGCGUGUAUGUUGGGACCCGAAAGAUGGUGAACUAUGCCUGAAUAGGGCGAAGCCAGAGGAAACUCUGGUGGAGGCUCGUAGCGAUUCUGACGUGCAAAUCGAUCGUCAAAUUUGGGUAUAGGGGCGAAAGACUAAUCGAACCAUCUAGU
rnacentral:rRNA from 1 species